GACGUAGGGCGCGAGCGUGUCCGGAUUUAUUGGGCGUAAAGAGCUCGUAGGCGGCUUGUCACGUCGGUUGUGAAAGCCCGGGGCUAACCCCGGGUCUGCAGUCGAUACGGGGCUAGCUAGAGUGUGGUAGGGGAGAUCGGAAUUCCUGGUGUAGCGGUGAAAUGCGCAGAUAUCAGGAGGAACACCGGUGGCGAAGGCGGAUCUCUGGGCCAUUACUGACGCUGAGGAGCGAAAGCGUGGGGAGCGAACAGGG
rnacentral:rRNA from 1 species